GUAAGCCGUGUGCGGGAAAUCCGCAUGCACGGUUUGAACGGGGGUGUUGGCUUCUACUUGCACCACAUGGUCCGAUAGGGGCCAACAUCUACCAAUGGACACGCCGCCGACCAUCGC
rnacentral:ncRNA from 1 species